rnacentral:sRNA from 1 species
CCGUACUUAGACGGAUAGUGAUAGUUGAACAGCAAAAUAUCAUUUUUGCUAAUUUAACUAUUUCAGUUUUUUAAGUAUGAUGUUGUGUUUGCAUAUUGGUCUAGGAAACUAGGCUAGAGUAACAUUUAGUUACUCGUUUCACUUCCUGUAUAU